AAAAAAAAAAAAAAAAAUCUGAUCAUGCAUUUAAUUUUCAAAUCUGAAUGCAAGAUGAACUUACUCAGGAAGCAUAUAAUAUGAUAGGAGAUAGAAGUCAGAUGACAUAAUUUCCUAUUAACCAAUGGAAAUUGUCAUUCUCUUUACCAGACACCAAAUAAAAACACAUUACAUAUAGAUGAUUAUUUCCUAAUGUCUAAUUCAGGCAGAACACAAACUAUAAUCUAUAGCAAA
rnacentral:misc_RNA from 1 species